rnacentral:rRNA from 1 species
GUGGCUCAGGACGAACGCUGGCGGCGUGCCUAAUACAUGCAAGUCGAACGCACUGACGGAGAACUUGUUCUCUUAACGUGAGUGGCGGACGGGUGAGUAACACGUGGGAAACCUACCCUUGAGCGGGGGAUAACGGUCGGAAACGAUCGCUAAUACCGCAUAACAGCAAUCAUCGCCUGAUGGUUGAUUGAAAGAUGGCUCUGCUAUCACUCAAGGAUGGGCCCGCGGUGCAUUAGCUAGUUGGUAAGGUAACGGCUUACCAAGGCCAUGAUGCAUAGCCGACCUGAGAGGGUAAUCGGCCACAUUGGGACUGAGACACGGCCCAAACUCCUACGGGAGGCAGCAGUAGGGAAUCUUCCGCAAUGGACGCAAGUCUGACGGAGCAACGCCGCGUGUGUGAAGAAGGUUUUCGGAUCGUAAAGCACUGUUAUUAGCCAAGAACACCCCUAGUAGUAACUGGCUAGGGAUUGACGGUAACUAAUCAGAAAGCCACGGCUAACUACGUG